rnacentral:lncRNA from 1 species
UCCACCACCUGUUGUUUUCAGGGGUGUUAGCGCCAUUGACCUGCAGAAAUCAAUACUUGUCUUGGAUGCCAGGCCUCACAAUUGAGCUGAUGGAAGAAAUGCUCCCAUUGGCCAAGGUAACCUGAGCAUAAUAUGAACACCGAGUUCCUCUGCAUAUGCCGUAUUCUGGUAUUUGUGGCCUCAAAUGUCAGCACAAGAGAAGUCCUUUAAAUUUCCGAGCUUCCUGGUUAUGUGAUAUUGAUUAGGUUUUUUUAUAUUUUAUGUCCUGUAAUUUC